GGGGGGCUAGGAUGAAAUUUGAAAAAAUAGGCAGGACAGGAGUUUUGAGUAAAAAAAAAGGCAGGAUGAGACACUUGCAAAAAAAAAAAGUCAGGACUACAAUUUAGGUAAUUAAAAGUCAGGAUAAACUAAAAAAAAAAAAAAGCAGGAUCGAACAGAGGGAAAAAUAAAAAGGCAGGACAGAGAUUACAGCUAAAAAAAAAUGCAGGACAAAAUUUUUCAUCCUAGCCCCCCCAUAAAAAUCAAAUGGUAGCUCCCUAAUAGCAA
rnacentral:lncRNA from 1 species